ACAGCAGUAGCCACGGUAAUACGAGGGGGGCAAGCGUUGUUCGGAAUUAUUGGGCGUAAAGGGUGCGUAGGCGGUUUGACAAGUCUUGUGUGAAAUCUUCGGGCUCAACCCGAAGCCUGCACGAGAAACUGUUGAGCUUGAGUAUUGGAGAGGUGAGUGGAAUUUCCGGUGUAGCGGUGAAAUGCGUAGAUAUCGGAAGGAACACCUGUGGCGAAAGCGGCUCACUGGACAAUAACUGACGCUGAUGCACGAAAGCUAGGGGAGCAAACAGGAUUAGAUACCCGCGUAGUCCCUGUCUCUUAUAA
rnacentral:rRNA from 1 species